GUACUGGCAUUAGUUGGUUUCUCCCUUCUGACGAACCAUGAUGUCAUUUAUUUGGUGUUGUGGGGAAUCAGGACUGUUACUUUGAAAAAAUUAGAGUGUUUAAAGCAGGCUCACGCUUGAAUACAUUAGCAUGGAAUAAUGAAAUAGGACGUUUGAUUCUAUUUUGUUGGUUUCUAGGAUCGACGUAAUGAUUAAUAGGGAUAGUUGGGGGCAUUAGUAUUCAAUUGUCAGAGGUGAAAUUCUUGGAUUUAUUGAAGACUAACUACUGCGAAAGCAUUUGCCAAGGAUGUUUUCAUUAAUCAAGAACGAAAGUUAGGAGAUCGAAGACGAUCAGAUACCGUCGUAGUCUUAACCAUAAACUAUGCCGACUAGGGAUCGGAUGAUGUUAAUUUUUUAAUGACUCAUUCGGCGCCUUACG
rnacentral:rRNA from 1 species